CAGCCAGCCAUUGCUUCUGCUUACUUGUAGGUGUUUCUGCAGAAAUAUAGAAAAAACUGGCAAUAACAGUAAAGCCGUGUUAUGAGCCUUAAGGAUAAUUGAGAUCAUUAAGGUCUCUGAAAGUGGCUACAUUA
ensembl:snoRNA